GCCUUCAUGAAGUCGGAAUUGCUAGUAAUGGCAGGUCAGCAUACUGCCGUGAAUACGUUCCCGGGCCUUGUACACACCGCCCGUCACACCAUGAGAGUUAGGAAUACCCGAAGCCUGUGAGCCAACUUUCUAAGAGGCAGCAGUCGAAGGUAGAACUAAUGAUUGGGGUGAAGUCGUAACAAGGUACC
rnacentral:rRNA from 1 species